GCGAGUGAAGCGGCAAAAGCUCAGAUUUGGAAUCGCUUCGGCGAGUUGUGAAUUGCAGGUUGGCGCCUCUGCGGCGGCGGCGGUCCAAGUCCCUUGGAACAGGGCGCCAUUGAGGGUGAGAGCCCCGUGGGACCGUUUGCCUACGCUCUGAGGCCCUUCUGACGAGUCGAGUUGUUUGGGAAUGCAGCUCUAAGCGGGUGGUAAAUUCCAUCUAAGGCUAAAUACUGGCGAGAGACCGAUAGCGAACAAGUACUGUGAAGGAAAGAUGAAAAGCACUUUGAAAAGAGAGUGAAACAGCACGUGAAAUUGUUGAAAGGGAAGGGUAUUGCGCCCGACAUGGAGCGUGCGCACCGCUGCCCCUCGUGGGCGGCGCUCUGGGCGUGCUCUGGGCCAGCAUCGGUUUUUGCCGCGGGAGAAGGGCGGCGGGCAUGUAGCUCUUCGGAGUGUUAUAGCCUGCCGCCGGCGCCGCGAGCGGGGACCGAGGACUGCGACUUUUGUCUCGGAUGCUGGCACAACGGCGCAACACCGCCCGU
rnacentral:rRNA from 1 species